AGAGUUUGAUCCUGGCUCAGGACGAACGCUGGCGGCGUGCUUAACACAUGCAAGUCGAACGAUGAACCUGGAGCUUGCUCUAGGGAAUUAGUGGCGAACGGGUGAGUAACACGUGAGUAACCUGCCCUUGACUCUGGGAUAACCUCCGGAAACGGAAGCUAAUACCGGAUACGACGUACGGAGGCAUCUCCUGUACGUGG
rnacentral:rRNA from 1 species